CGCGAGCUGGGGACGGAGGGGGAGAGGUUACCGGGGGAGAAUAUAUCUCCCCUACACAUCACUCCCACCCUUCCUCUGGUGCAAGCGCCACUAAAUCUCACCCUAACAUCCCUUCGCUUUAGGAGACUUGGCGAGACUGUUAGAGGGAUCCAGGUGGCCACCUCCUGGACAGCAGCUCCACAGCACGCAUCCCGGCCGCGGUGCUGGGAGAGCCCCCGACGGCACCUUAUCCAUCACCCCCCAGUGAAGCACGGCAGAUUUUGGGACGGCCCCGGCAGCCGGGGGGACCACGAUCGUUCCCCUCACCCCGAGCGGCUGCCGAGGCAGGCAGCCCCCGCGGGACGCCGCCUGUGCCCACCUCGGCCGGGCAAGUCCCGGUACCCGAGGCAGACGCGGGCCCACCGCCGCCCCCGCGGUGAGCCGCUCUUACCAAACGCGAGAGGACGAGGGAUCCUGCCCUUCUCCUCCCUUCGAAACAACUAAUUAAUAAUCAGCCGCGCUGGGGGAAGCAUUAGCUCCUAGGAGCACGCGUGGGGCAGCUCCUCGGGGCUGCAUUUCGAUGCAGCGCGCUCACAAAGCGGAGCGUGCGGAGGAGGAGCGGCAGCAGCGCGCCCCGGGCCGUGCCGCUCCCGGCGCUGCCCGCUGCGGGGCCCGAGGAUCGGCCAGCGCCCAGCCAGCGGCUCGCAGCCCCCGCCCCCGGCCCCCAAAUGUCCCUGCCGCGGCUCCAGGGGGAGGCUGAAGCUUAGCCCCGAGGCGCGGAGCCUUUACCUGCCGCCUGCACGGAUUGCGCCCGCUGGCUUCCCGGUGGCAGUUUACGCCGCGACCUUCCCUUUCCCCCGCGGUGCUAAAGGUUGUCACAGAGCAUCGCCGACCUCGAAACGACGUCUUAAAAUUCAGACGGUAAAAGCUGCAACAGAAUAAAUUAAGGCGGCCCGUUAUUAGAGGAACCAAGCGCAAUUUCAUUUUCUCUUUAAACUGCUUAACCAAAACCGUCGGGUUUCGUUAUGGGUGAAACGGUUUUAAUUUUCACAAACCGUCUUCGGACAAAUUGCUUUUAAAUCACCCGUUUUGAUGUGUCAAUAAACCUUGUUGUUACAGGAAUUCGCGUGUAAUAUAACAGCGAAAGAUUUGGAGAUUAUCCGUGCCAAUAUUAAAGACUGUCUAAGUUUA